CCGAAGUGGCGCGGACGCCAUUCACUCAUCUGCCGGCUGGCGGGCCUGGACACUCGCUCAUUCAUGCGCAUGGGUCCUCCCCCAUUCAUUCAAGCGUGCCUGGAGAGCCAGGACACAGAAGACAAGCACCUGCAAUCCAAUCCUGUGAGGGGAAUGUGUUGACCCGGACUCCAGAGUUCCUUUCCCAGACUGGAGAGGGCAAUUUGAGAAUGUUUCUUUGUGGAAGUGGCUGCAUGAAUUAGCUGCUGGACGCAGAAGGCAUCAUAGUCUCACUUCUGUCUGCUGUACCUGUAUGUCUCUGGAUGCCCUGGUGACGGCACAGAAGAGCGGCUGAAGGAAUGUAACCCGUGGACACACUUGCUUGUUAUCCCCUCCCUCUUCAGGAUGUUUCUGGAGCAUCUGCUCUGCCAGCUGCUGUGGUACUGACAGAACUGGAUAGCAUGAGAGGAAAACUCAGAAACAAAGGGAACUUUAGCAAGUCUUUCCAAGAACCAGAGAGAUGACUCAGAUGGUCAAGAGUACUUGUUGCUCUUGAAGAGGACCAGGGUUCAGUUCCUAGCACCCACAUGGUGGUUCACAGUCAUUCAGAACUCCAGUUCCAGGGGAUCAGAUGCCUUCUUCUGACUUCUACGGGUUCCAGGCAUGCACAUGGUACACAUUCAUUCAUGCAGGCAAAACACUCAUGCACUUAAAAUAUAAACCUGAAAACAACAACAAAAUACCCAAGACUUUCCAGCUAAUGGUUCCUCUAUCUAGAAAUGGCCAGCACUCAUUUCUAAUCCUCCUUGCUGGAGGACUUCCCAACCGCUUAAGAGCAAGAUGGGGAGGGCUCAGUAGCUACAAACUGAAAAACUACCCCCCUCGCAAACACACUGGUGUGCCAGAUAGGUUCACUACACAAGCCUUUACAAAUGUGAAUGUGCCUCAGGCGUCAAGAAACGGGUACAACAGCACCCCCAGGUGUCACUGAAGUUCCCCAAAUCCUCCAACCCCUGAAGAGCAUGGACAUGGUUUGUCCCCAGGUUUGAAAUGGGAACAAAUGUCUGUUCAUUCCAGAUAGGGUAUCCAUGACAGACCAGAGAAAUAAUUCCACCCUCGCCUAGUUUGGGGGACCAGUAAAAUGGUUGAAGUUACUAAUAGGAGCAUGGGAGCCACAAAGCUGUUACUAAAGAACCCACUCCCAUAUGGAUGACAGCUCGGGAAAGCUGUAUCGCUGGGGCUCCCUGCACAGCUUGUAGGCGGAAGAGUUUCUAUGCCCCAGCUUUUACAAGCUUGAGAAGGGGCCUUGUGAAUCUUGUAACUUUCAUGAGCUUUCUGAGCCUUCUAAGUUUUAUUAGCUUCUGGAGUCUUAUUGCACCUUCUCUCCUCCCUCCUGGAGAUAAUGUUUCUACUCAGAGGAAACAGCCACACAGGAAGAGGAAACAGUUCGCCAUUUGGGAAAUUAGCUUGGAUAACCUGAUCAAUGUUCUUUAAACUGAAAGUCUGCAGCCUAUAAACUGCCCUCUGGCGAUCUCUGACUUUGGAUAGUCUCAUCCUGCCCCUUUUCCUCUGAAGCGUAAGCUGGACUUGCUGUCUUGCUUUUCACAAAUAGAACACAGUAGGGCAGACAGGAUGUCCCCUCCCCGGAUUGGGUAAUAAAAAGACCAUCUGCACUAGACACUCAUUGCCUCUCUUGCUCUUUUGGCAUUGCCCCCUGAAGGAAGCCAGGUGUUGUGCUGUGAGGAAACCUGGUGAGGGACUGAGCUCAGCCUACCACCAUGGGAGCCUUCCCACCAGGGUUUUUGAUGUCUUGACUACAACUCAAAGAUACCCAAACCAGAGGUACAAACUAGGCUGUGCUGAUUCUUGAUGGGUGGAAACACUAAGAAAAUGUUGGUGGUUUUUAAGCUUCUGAACUUUGGGAUUGUUUGUUAAUCAGCAUCGCAUAACUAAUAAAAGAUAUUCCCAAUUGCCAGGGA